rnacentral:rRNA from 1 species
UACGUAGGGGCGAGCGUUGUCCGGAUUUACUGGGCGUAAAGGGAGCGUAGGCGGACUUUUAAGUUGAGAUGUGAAAUACCCGGGCUCAACUUGGGUGCUGCAUUUCAAACUGGAAGUCUAGAGUGCAGGAGAGGAGAAUGGAAUUCCUAGUGUAGCGGUGAAAUGCGUAGAGAUUAGGAAGAACACCAGUGGCGAAGGCGAUUCUCUGGACUGUAACUGACGCUGAGGCUCGAAAGCGUGGGGAGCAAACAGGAUUAGAUACCCCCUGUAGU